rnacentral:ncRNA from 1 species
UUAGUGUUAAUAUUGUUAAAUAUAAAGUGAUAUAAAAAUUAACAAAAUAGAGAAUCCCGUGCUUAUCCUGAGCGGAGUCUAAGGAUAAAAUUCGGGAACAGUCCCGCUACUGUAAUGGUGAUGCUCCAAUGAUUUGGAGCAGGGAAUUUUAAAUGCCACUGGUCGCUAUGGCGAACUGGGAAGGUGAAAUUCCAAAAAACCUAAGUCAGGAAACCUAUUUGUUAUUAGUCCCGUAU